rnacentral:rRNA from 1 species
UACGUAGGUGGCAAGCGUUGUCCGGAAUUAUUGGGCGUAAAGCGCGCGCAGGCGGUUUCUUAAGUCUGAUGUGAAAGCCCACGGCUCAACCGUGGAGGGUCAUUGGAAACUGGGGAACUUGAGUGCAGAAGAGAAGAGCGGAAUUCCACGUGUAGCGGUGAAAUGCGUAGAGAUGUGGAGGAACACCAGUGGCGAAGGCGGCUCUUUGGUCUGUAACUGACGCUGAGGAGCGAAAGCAUGGGGAGCGAACAGGG